GUGUCUGCCAGUCCCUAAACACCUGCAUAUCCAGUAUGGCGGGAAGAAAAGGAACAGGAUCGGCGAGCAGAGGCAUCAGGCUGGGCAGAGCUCCGGGAACGUAAGGUACCCAGUUCCUGCCCUGAGUCCUCUCUUCUUCGCUUGCUGGCCUUGUGGGACUGAGCAACUGCUAGAUCCUUGGACUUCCAUUCACAGCUGCUGCUGACCAUUGUUGGGGAGUUGGACUACAGACUAGUCCAGGAGGGGACCUGGCUGCACAUGCUGAACUAAGGACCUUGAAGCCAGGUGUCCUGGAUUCAGCCCAGUCUCCCAACGGGUACUCCCUUGCUUAACCUGAAAUGUCAAAUGCAAUUGGAUAACACUAAAGCUUCCCCCACCCCCACCCCAUUUGUGUUCCCAUCCUUUAAAUAUUGUAUGAUCCCAGCCUCACCCCGUGCUCAGAAAACAAAGCUUUCAUUUUUAAGCUUCUGAAGUUCUGAAGUGAGUUUUCUGGUCUUCCUCCCCGAACCAACCAGAUACGGUAUCUCAAGAGGAGGAGGAAGAGGGGGAAGAGGGGGAAGAAGAGGAGGGCAAAGAGGAGAAGGGGAGGAGGAAGAAGAAGAGGAAAAUGGG